UCUUCCACUUGAAGCCUGUUUCUGCAGAGUACACCUAAAAUAAUAAUAAUAAUAACAAUAUAUUUUGUGAUGCAUAACAAAAUACCCCAAUUUGAUUUUUAAUUAACUUGGAACUCCGUUCAUUUUUCAUUCUGCAAGAACCUAAACGUGGCAUCACUUCUGCAUGAUCUGUAUGCAACCUAAGAUAUCAUAUUUUUAAAUAGAAAUACUACAAAAUAAAAGCUUUUAGCUCUAAAAUGGAAAAUUUGCUGCAAAUUUGAAUAGGUACAGACACAUACACUGUAAUUUUGCAAACAGAAAAGUAAAAAAAAAAUAGUUAAAUCUACAAAAUCUUAAGAAAGUCUGUCAUGCAAAAAAAUUAAUCAUAUUUUAAUCAACUUAAAUUAAGAAAUCAUGUUUUACGAACUGGAAAUUGUUCCUUUUUGUUGUUUAUUUUUAAAGAAAACCUUGCACUAGGGGCCUGUUUUUGCACAGAAUAGCUAUAAUAAAGUUUGCACAUUUUGUGCAUGCAUGCAGAUUUUGUGAUGCACAACAAAAUACCCCAAUUUGCUUUUUAAUUAACUUGCAACUCCUUUCAUUUUGCAUUUUGAAAGAGCCUACAAGUGGAAUAAAUUUAAGCAGCAAAAUGCAAAACCUAAAAUAGUAGAUUUCUAUAAAAACCACCAAAAUAAAAAAAAGCUUUUUUCAAAUUUGAAACAAAAAAUGAAAAUAGACACUCAUGCCCUCCAGCACGCACACAACUCCCACCAUGUGACCCCUAAUCACAACCUCAGAGCUUGGACAUCAAAUGAAGUAAGUAAAAAAAAAUCAUCAGGAGUAAUUAACGCAUUUUCAUAUGCAAAUGUGAUUAAUGCAAAACUACAAAGUCAUUAUGCAAAUCGACUUUUCCUUGAGCCUCAGUGCAAAUAUUCGCCGCUCAAAUCAGGGAUCAGUCUCGCCAUCUUUUUCUCUUUUUUUUUUAUCUUCUCCCUUUCGCUCUCUUGGAGGAGAGAUAAUGCGUAAGUAGCAUGUGAAGUUAUUUCUAACUCACGCAGAGUGUGUGUGUGUGUGUGUUUUCAUGCGAUGGGCCGGGGAGAUGGCACGACGCCGCCUGCCUACUGAUUACUGGCUGCUUGGCACCGGAGCGAGACGGGGAAGCCGGCGAACAGAGGAAGCUUGUACGCACGCCGAGGGCCAACCAGCGUGGACACGGGAAAGGUUUUAAGUCCAGAGAGGAAUCUCCUGAGUGACAAAGUGGAGGAGGGCAGCUCGUGCACAUGACUGGACAAAGUACUGCUUUGAUUCUGGGUCACAUCCCUCAUUACAUCUCCCUCAAGUACCCCAAACCGGUCUAAUAUGUGAAAGAAAAGUGCCCAAAAUACAACUUUUAAGAACAUUCUGGGGAUUGUUUCAUUUAUUCAUUUUUUUCUAGCCAAGAAUGAAAGAAUUAUAAAGGCUUUUGAUGUGAUUAACCGCAAAGUGACAGGACUGACAUAAACAAUGAAAGGUCCACUCCAGGAGAGCCGAUAUGAAUAUUGC